UUAUGUUGAAUUCAUAGGUUAGCCAUUAUACACAGUACUGCAAUGAACAUGGGAGUGUAAACAUCUCUUUGACACACUGAUUUCAAAUCUUUCAGGCUCUGCAAGAAGCAUGGCCCCAGCAUCUGCUUCUGGUGAGGCCUCAGGAAGCAUUCAGUUGUGGAGGAAGACAAAGGAGGAGCAGUUGCGCUAUACAGCAAAAGAGGAGGAGGCAGGAAAAGGAGGAGGAGGUAGCCGGCUCUUUGUAACCAGCAGACCUCCCAUAACUAAUGGAGUGAUAACUCACUCAUUACUGCCAGAAAGGCAAGAAGGCAUUCAUGAGGGAUCUGUACCUACAACGCAAAGUCCUCCCACUCCUUCUAUUGUGGGCUACCUAAAAAUGGAACAUAUUAACUUCCAAGAUAUUUGGGUGCACAGAUAUUAAAAAUAAAAUAAGCUGCCACACA
rnacentral:lncRNA from 1 species